rnacentral:rRNA from 1 species
AUCGAACGCUGGCGGCAGGCCUAACACAUGCAAGUCGAACGAGUGGCGGACGGGUGAGUAAUGCCUGGGAAACUGCCCGAUGGAGGGGGAUAACCACUGGAAACGGUAGCUAAUACCGCAUACCAUCGGAUGUGCCCAGAUGGGAUUGGCUAGUAGGGGGGGUAACGGCUCACCUAGGCGACGAACCCUAGCUGGUCGGAGAGGAUGACCGGCCACACGGGAACGGAGCCACGGUCCAGACUCCUACGGGAGGCAGCAGUGGGGAAUAUUGGACAAUGGGCGAAAGCCUGAUGAAGCCAGGCCGCGUGUAGGAAGAAGGCCUUCGGGUUGUAAAGUACUUUAAGCGGGGAGGCGUUACUCGCAGAAGAAGCAUCGGCUAACUCCGUGCCAGCAGCCGCGGUAAUAC